rnacentral:lncRNA from 1 species
GCUGACGACGACCAAGAGUAGUUUAGGAGGAUCCCAGGCAGGAGGCAUGCGCCUCUUUCGAUCUGUAUCCCAGUUUGUGCUAGCCUUCUUAAGGCAAACUUGUUUAACUUAUGUCUGUACUCAGAUAUUGUUGCUUCCGCUAACUCGUCUAUGACCAAGCUCUUGUAUUCGAGCCCUCGAGGCCCCUGGCUUGUAAUAUGAUGCUUGUAUGACUUAUUUUAUUUGUAGAGUUGUGUUGUGAUAUCUUCCCGUGAGUCCCUGAUCUUGAUCGUACACGUUUGCUUGUAUGAUUUGUGUAUGGUUGAAUCGGGGGCGUCACAAGUUGGUAUCAGAGCCGACUGCCUGUAGGAAUCCCCCUUCCACACUCCUUGGCCGAGGUUGAGUCUAGACAUUACCAAAAACUUUUACUAACAUGGAUGUCUGCCUUACGUGCCCACGUCGCCAUUGUUGGAAAUAUGCCCUAGAGGCAAUAAUAAAAUCAUUAUUAUUAUAUUUCCUUGUUCAUGAUAAUUGUCUUUAUUCAUGCUAUAAUUGUGUUAUCCGGAAAUCGUAAUACAUGUGUGAAUAACAGACACCAACAUGUCCCUAGUAAGCCUCUAGUUGACUAGCUCGUUGAUCAACAGACAGUCAUGGUUUCCUGACUAUGGACAUUGGAUGUCAUUGAUAACGAGAUCACAUCAUUAGGAGAAUGAUGUGAUGGACAAGACCCAAUCCUAAACAUAGCAUAAAGAUCAUAUAGUUCGUUUGCUAGAGUUUUUCCAAUGUCAAGUAUCUUUUCCUUAGACCAUGAUAUCGUGUAACUCCCGGAUACCGUAGGAGUGCUUUGGGUAUACCAAACGUCACAACGUAACUGGGUGACUAUAAAGGUAGACUACGGGUAUCUCCGAAAGUAUCUGUUGGGUUGACACGGAUCAAGUCUGGGAUUUGUCACUCCGUAUGACGGAGAGGUAUCACUGGGCCCACUCAGUAAUGCAUCAUCAUAAUGAGCUCAAAGUAACCAAGUGUCUGGUCACGGGAUCAUGCAUUACGGUACGAGUAAAGUGACUUGCCGGGAACGAGAUUGAACGAGGUAUUGGGAUACCGACGAUCGAAUCUCGGCCAAGUAACAUAUCGAUUGACAAAGGGAAUUGCAUACGGGGUUGCUUGAAUCCUCGACAUCGUGGUUCAUCCGAUGAGAUCAUCGUGGAGCAUGUGGGAGCCAACAUGGGUAUCCAGAUCCCGCUGUUGGUUAUUGACUGGAGAGUCGUCUCGGUCAUGUCUGCCUGUCUCCCGAACUCGUAGGGUCUACACACUUAAGGUUCAGUGACGCUAGGGUUGUGAAGAUAUGUAUAUGCAGUAACCCGAAUGUUGUUCGGAGUCCCGGAUGAGAUCCCGGACGUCACGAGGAGUUCCGGAAUGGUCCGGAGGUAAAGAAUUAUAUAUAGGAAGUGCUAUUUCGGCCAUCGGGACAAGUUUCGGGGUCACCGGUAUUGUACCGGGACCACCGAAAGGGUCCCGGGGGUCUACCGGGUGGGGCCACCUGCCCCGGGGGGCCACAUGGGCUGUAGGGGGUGCGCCUUGGCCUAUAUGGGCCAAGGGCACUAGCCCCAAAAGGGCCCAUGCGCCUAGGGUUUUGGGGAAACCCUAAAAGGGGGCGCCCCCUUGCUUGGGGGGCAAGCCCCCCACCCCUUGGCCGCCGCCCCCUAGGAGAUUGGAUCUCCUAGGGCCGGCUCCCCCCCCUAGACACCCCUAUAUAUAGUGGGGGAGAUGGAGGACAUCAAACCUCAGCCUUUUGGCGCCUCCCUCUCCCCUGUUACAUCUCUCUCUCGUAGUAUAGGCGAAGCCCUGCUACUGUGAGGCCCUGCAUCCACCACCACGCCGUCGUGCUGUUGGAUCUUCAUCAACUUCUCCUUCCCCCUUGCUGGAUCAAGAAGAAGGAGACGUUACGCUGACCGUACGUGUGUUGAACGCGGAGGUACCGUCCGUUCGGUGCUAGGAUCUCCGGUGAUUUGGAUCACGUCGUGUUCGACUACCUCAUCCCCGUUCUUUGAACGCUUCCGCUCGCGAUCUACAAAGGUAUGUAGAUGCAUCCGAUCACUCGUUGCUAGAUGAACUCAUAGAUGGAUCUUGGUGAAGCCAUAGGAAAUUUUUUGUUUUCUGCAACGUUCCCCAACAGUGGCAUCAUGAGCUAGGUCUAUGCGUAGUUCUUCUUGCGCGAGUAGAACACAAUUUGUUGUGGGCAUAGAUGUUGUCAACUUUCUUGCCGUUACUAGUCUUAUCUUGCUUCAACGGUAUUGUGGGAUGAAGCGGCCCGGACCAACCUUACACGUACGCUUACGUGAGACCGGUUCCACCGACUAACAUGCACUAGUUGCAUAAGGUGGCUGGCGGGUGUCUGUCUCUCCUACUUUAGUUGGAACGAUUCAAUGAAAAGGGUCCUUAUGAAGGGUAAAUAGAAGUUGACAAAUCACGUUGUGGCUUUCACGUAGGUAAGAAAACGUUCUUGCUAGAACCCUACUUCAGCCACGUAAAACUUGCAACAACAAUUAGAGGACGUCUAACUUGUUUCUGCAGCAAGUGCUUUGUGAUAUGAUAUGGCCAAAGUUGUGAUGAAUUAUGAAUGAUAUAUAUGUGAUGUAUGAGUUGUUCAUGCUAUUGUAAUAGGAAUCACGACUUGCAUGUCGAUGAGUAUGACAACCGGCAGGAGCCAUAGGAGUUGUCUUUAUUUUUGUAUGACCUGCGUGUCAUUGAGAAACGCCAUGUAAAUUACUUUACUUUAUUGCUAAAUGCGUUAGCCAUAGUAGUAGAAGUAAUAGUUGGCGAGCAACUUCAUGGAGACACGAUGAUGGAGAUCAUGAUGAUGGAGAUCAUGGUGUCAAGCUGGUGACAAGAUGAUCAUGGAGCCCCAAGAUGGAGAUCAAAGGAGCUAUGUGAUAUUGGCCAUAUCAUGUCACGUUUAUUAUUUGAUUGCAUGUGAUGUUUAUCAUGUUUUGCAUCUUGUUUACUUAGAACGACGGUAGUAAAUAAGAUGAUCCCUCAUAAUAAUUUCAAGAAGUGUUCCCCCUAACUGUGCACCGUUGAGACAGUUUGUUGUUUCAAUGCACCACGUGAUGAUCGGGUGUUUGAUCCAAACGUUCACAUACAACGGGUGUAAGACAGAUUUACACAUGCAAACACUUAGGUUGACUUGACGAGCCUAGCAUGUACAGACAUGGCCUCGGAACACAGAAGACCGAAAGGUCGAGCAUGAGUCGUAUAGAAGAUACGAUCAACAUGAAGAUGUUCACCGAUGUUGACUAGUCCGUCUCACGUGAUGAUCGGACACGGCCUAGUUGACUCGGAUCAUGUUAUACUUAGAUGACUAGAAGAGGGAUGUCUAUCUAAGUGGGAGUUCAUUGAAUAAUUUGAUUAGAUGAACUUAAUUAUCAUGAACUUAGUCUAAAAUAUUUACAAUAUGUCUUGUAGAUCAAAUGGCCAACAUAGUCCUCAACUUCAACGCAUUCCUAGAGAAAACCAAGCUGAAAGACGAUGGCAGCAACUAUACGGACUGGGUCCGGAACCUGAGGAUCAUCCUCAUAGCUGCCAAGAAAGAUUAUGUCCUACAAGCACCGCUAGGUGACCCGCCUGUCCCACAGAACCAAGACGUUAUGAAUGUUUGGCAGACACGUGCUGAUGACUACUCCCUCGUUCAGUGCGGCAUGCUUUACAGUUUAGAGCCGGGGCUCCAAAAGCGUUUUGAGAGACAUGGAGCAUAUGAGAUGUUCAAAGAGCUGAAAAUGGUUUUUCAAGCUCAUGCCCGGGUCGAGAGAUAUGAAGUCUCCGACAAAUUCUUUAGCUGUAAGAUGGAGGAAAAUAGUUCUGUCAGUGAGCACAUACUCACUAUGUCUGGGUUACAUAACCGCUUGACUCAGCUGGGAGUUAAUCUCCCGGAUGAUGCGGUCAUUGACAGAAUCCUCCAGUCGCUUCCACCAAGCUACAAGAGCUUUGUGAUGAACUUCAAUAUGCAGGGGAUGGAAAAGACCAUUCCUGAGGUAUUUGCAAUGCUGAAAUCAGCAGAGGUAGAAGUCAAGAAGGAACAUCAAGUGUUGAUGGUCAAUAAAACCACUAAGUUCAAGAAGGGCAAGGGUAAAAAGAACUUCAAGAAGGACGGCAAGGGAGUUGCCGCGCCCGGCAAGCAAGCUACUGGGAAGAAGCCAAAGAAUGGACCCAAGCCCGAGACUGAGUGCUUCUAUUGCAAGGGAAGUGGUCACUGGAAGCGGAACUGCCCCAAAUACUUAGCAGACAAGAAGGCCGGCAAAACAAAAGGUAUAUAUGAUAUACAUGUAAUUGAUGUGUACCUUACUAGUACCCGUAGUAGCUCCUGGGUAUUUGAUACCGGUGCAGUUGCUCACAUUUGUAACUCAAAGCAGGGGCUGUGGAAUAAGCGGAGACUGGCAAAGGACGAGGUGACGAUGCGCGUCGGGAAUGGUUCCAAGGUCAAUGUGAUCGCCGUCGGCACGCUACCUCUAUAUUUGCCUUCGGGAUUAGUUUUAAACCUUAAUAAUUGUUAUUUAGUGCCAGCUUUGAGCAUGAACAUUGUAUCGGGAUCUCGUUUAAUUCGAGAUGGCUACUCAUUUAAAUCCGAGAAUAAUGGUUGUUCUAUUUAUAUGAGAGAUAUGUUUUAUGGUCAUGCUCCUAUGGUGAAUGGUUUAUUCUUAAUGAAUCUCGAGCGUAACGCUACACAUAUUCAUAGUGUGAGUACCAAAAGAUGUAAGGUUGAUAAUGAUAGUCCCACAUAUUUGUGGCACUGCCGCCUUGGUCACAUAGGUGUCAAACGCAUGAAGAAGCUCCAUGCCGAUGGACUUUUAGAGUCUCUUGAUUAUGAAUCAUUUGACACGUGCGAACCAUGCCUCAUGGGUAAAAUGACCAAGACUCCGUUCUCAGGAACAAUGGAGCGAGCAACCAACUUAUUGGAAAUCAUACAUACUGAUGUGUGCGGUCCAAUGAGCGUUGAGGCUCGCGGUGGCUAUCGUUAUGUUCUCACCCUCACUGAUGACUUGAGUAGAUAUGGGUAUAUCUACUUAAUGAAACACAAGUCUGAAACCUUUGAAAAGUUCAAGGAAUUUCAGAGUGAGGUUGAGAAUCAACGUGACAGGAAGAUCAAGUUUCUACGAUCAGAUCGUGGAGGAGAAUACUUGAGUCACGAAUUUGGCACACACUUAAGAAAAUGUGGAAUAGUUUCACAACUCACGCCGCCUGGAACACCUCAGCGUAAUGGUGUGUCCGAACGUCGUAAUCGCACUUUAUUAGAUAUGGUGCGAUCUAUGAUGUCUCUUACCGAUUUACCGCUAUCUUUUUGGGGCUAUGCUUUAGAGACUGCCGCAUUCACUUUAAAUAGGGCUCCGUCGAAAUCCGUUGAGACGACACCGUAUGAAUUAUGGUUUGGGAAGAAACCUAAGCUGUCGUUUCUAAAAGUUUGGGGAUGCGAUGCUUAUGUCAAGAAACUUCAACCUGAAAAGCUCGAACCCAAGUCGGAAAAAUGCGUCUUCAUAGGAUACCCUAAAGAAACUGUUGGGUAUACCUUCUACCUCAGAUCCGAAGGCAAGAUCUUUGUUGCCAAGAAUGGAUUCUUUCUAGAGAAAGAGUUUCUCUCGAAAGAAGUAAGUGGGAGGAAAGUAGAACUUGAUGAAGUAUUGCCUCUUGAACCGGAAAAUGGCGCAACUCAAGAAAAUGUUCCUGAGGUGCCUGCACCGACUAGAGAGGAAGUUAAUGAUAAUGAUCAAGAUACUUCUGAUCAAGCUCCUACUGAAAUUCGAAGGUCCACAAGGACACGUUCCGCACCAGAGUGGUACGGCAACCCUGUCUUGGAAAUCAUGUUGUUAGACAACGGUGAACCUUCGAACUAUGAAGAAGCGAUGGCGGGCCCGGAUUCCGACAAAUGUCUAGAAGCCAUGAAAUCCGAGAUAGGAUCCAUGUAUGAAAACGAAGUAUGGACUUUGACUGACUUGCCCGUUGAACGGCGAGCCAUAGAAAAUAAAUGGAUCUUUAAGAAGAAGACAGACACGGAUGGUAAUGUGACCAUCUAUAAAGCUCGGCUUGUCGCUAAGGGUUAUCGACAAGUUCAAGGGGUUGACUACGAUGAGACUUUCUCACCGGUAGCGAAGCUAAAGUCCGUCCGAAUCAUGUUAGAAAUUGCCGCAUUUUACGAUUAUGAGAUAUGGCAAAUGGACGUCAAAACGGCAUUCCUUAAUGGUUUCCUUAAGGAAGAAUUGUAUAUGAUGCAGCCGGAAGGUUUUGUCGAUUAUAAGAAUGCUGACAAAGUGUGCAAGCUCCAACGCUCGAUUUAUGGGUUGGUGCAAGCAUCUCGGAGUUGGAACACUCGCUUUGAUGAGAUGAUCAAAGCGUUUGGGUUUACGCAGACUUAUGGAGAAGCCUGCGUUUACGAGAAAGUGAGUGGGAGCUCUGUAGCAUUUCUCAUAUUAUAUGUAGAUGACAUACUUUUGAUGGGAAAUGAUAUAGAACUCUUGGACAGCAUCAAGGCCUACUUGAAUAAGAGUUUUUCAAUGAAGGACCUUGGAGAAGCUGCUUAUGUAUUAGGCAUCAAGAUCUAUAGAGAUAGAUCAAGACGCCUCAUAGGUCUUUCACAAAGCACAUACCUUGAUAAGAUAUUGAAGAAGUUCAAUAUGGAUCAGUCUAAGAAGGGGUUCUUGCCUGUGUUACAAGGUAUGAAAUUGAGCUCAGCUCAAUGUCCGACCACGGCAGAAGAUAUAGAAGAGAUGAGUGUCAUCCCCUAUGCCUCAGCCAUAGGUUCUAUUAUGUAUGCCAUGCUGUGUACCAGACCUGAUGUAAACCUUGCCGUAAGUUUGGUAGGAAGGUACCAAAGUAAUCCCGGCAAGGAACACUGGACAGCGGUCAAGAAUAUCCUGAAGUACCUGAAAAGGACUAAGGAAAUGUUUCUCGUUUAUGGAGGUAACGAAGAGCUCGUCGUAAAGGGUUACGUCGAUGCUAGCUUCGACACAGAUCUGGAUGACUCUAAGUCACAAACCGGAUACGUGUAUAUUUUGAAUGGUGGGGCAGUAAGCUGGUGCAGUUGCAAGCAGAGCAUCGUAGCGGGAUCUACAUGUGAAGCGGAGUACAUGGCAGCCUCGGAGGCAGCACAUGAAGCAAUAUGGGUGAAGGAGUUCAUCACCGACCUAGGAGUCAUACCCAAUACGUCGGGGCCAAUCAAACUCUUUUGUGACAACACUGGAGCUAUUGCACUUGCCAAGGAGCCCAGGUUUCACAAGAAGACAAGGCACAUCAAGCGUCGCUUCAACUCCAUUCGUGAAAAUGUUCAAGAUGGAGACAUAGAGAUUUGUAAAGUACAUACGGACCUGAAUGUAGCAGAUCCGUUGACUAAACCUCUCCCUAGGGCAAAACAUGAUCAACACCAGAAUUCCAUGGGUGUUCGAUUCAUCACAAUGUAAACUAGAUUAUUGACUCUAGUGCAAGUGGGAGACUGUUGGAAAUAUGCCCUAGAGGCAAUAAUAAAAGCAUUAUUAUUAUAUUUCCUUGUUCAUGAUAAUUGUCUUUAUUCAUGCUAUAAUUGUGUUAUCCGGAAAUCGUAAUACAUGUGUGAAUAACAGACACCAACAUGUCCCUAGUAAGCCUCUAGUUGACUAGCUCAUUGAUCAACAGAUAGUCAUGGUUUCCUGACUAUGGACAUUGGAUGUCAUUGAUAACGAGAUCACAUCAUUAGGAGAAUGAUGUGAUGGACAAGACCCAAUCCUAAACAUAGCAUAAAGAUCGUAUAGUUCGUUUGCUAGAGUUUUUCCAAUGUCAAGUAUCUUUUCCUUAGACCAUGAGAUCGUGUAACUCCCAGAUACCGUAGGAGUGCUUUGGGUAUACCAAACGUCACAACGUAACUGGGUGACUAUAAAGGUAGACUACGGGUAUCUCCGAAAGUAUUUGUUGGGUUGACACAGAUCAAGACUGGGAUUUGUCACUCCGUAUGACGGAGAGGUAUCACUAGGCCCACUCAAUAAUGCAUCAUCAUAAUGAGCUCAAAGUAACCAAGUGUCUGGUCACGGGAUCAUGCAUUACGGUACGAGUAAAGUGACUUGCCGGUAACGAGAUUGAACGAGGUAUUGGGAUACCGACGAUCGAAUCUCGGGCAAGUAACAUAUCGAUUGACAAAGGGAAUUGCAUACGGGGUUGCUUGAAUCCUUGACAUCGUGGUUCAUCCGAUGAAAUCAUCGUGGAGCAUGUGGGAGCCAACAUAGGUAUCCAGAUCCCGCUGUUGGUUAUUGACCGGAGAGUCGUCUCGGUCAUGUCUGCCUGUCUCCCGAACCCGUAGGGUCUACACGCUUAAGGUUCGGUGACGCUAGGGUUGUGAAGAUAUGUAUAUGCAGUAACCCGAAUGUUGUUCAGAGUCCCGGAUGAGAUCCCGGACGUCACGGGGAGUUCCGGAAUGGUCCGGAGGUAAAUAAUUAUAUAUAGGAAGUGCUAUUUCAGCCAUCGGGACAAGUUUCGGGGUCACCGGUAUUGUACCGGGACCACCGGAAGGGUCCCGGGGGUCCACCGGGUGGGGCCACCUGCCCCGGGGGGCCACAUGGGCUGUAGGGGGUGCGCCUUGGUCUAUAUGGGCCAAGGGCACCAGCCCCAAAAGGGCCCAUGCGCCUAGGGUUUUGGGGAAACCCUAAAAGGGGGCGCCCCCUUGCUUGGGGGGCAAGCCCCCCACCCCUUGGCCGCCGCCCCCUAGGAGAUUGGAUCUCCUAGGGCCGGCUCCCCCCCUAGACACCCCUAUAUAUAGUGGGGGAGAUGGAGGACAUCAAACCUCAGCCUUUUGGCGCCUCCCUCUCCCCUGUUACAUCUCUCUCUCGUAGUAUAGGCGAAGCCCUGCUACUGUGACGCCCUGCAUCCUCCACCACGCCAUCGUGCUGUUGGAUCUUCAUCAACUUCUCCUUCGCCCCUUGCUGGAUCAAGAAGAAGGAGACGUUACGCUGACUGUACGUGUGUUGAACGCGGAGGUACCGUCCGUUCGGUGCUAGGAUCUCCGGUGAUUUGGAUCACGUCGUGUUUGACUACCUCAUCCCCGUUCUUUGAACGCUUCCACUCGCGAUCUACAAAGGUAUGUAGAUGCAUCCGAUCACUCGUUGCUAGAUGAACUCAUAGAUGGAUCUUGGUGAAGCCGUAGGAAAUUUUUUGUUUUCUGCAACGUUCCCCAACAACCAUCUGGGUGGUAUUAGGAUCUUUUAUUCCUCGACCUAUACUCUGGGACUCUGACAUCUCUUCUUUUCGGGUUAAAUGAAUUUACUAAAACUCUAACAUUAGGUUCUUGUAAAUACUUUCUCCCGGAGAGCCCCUUCAAUCCAGAUGAUUGUUGGCUGCACCAGAAUAUUUUGAAGAUACUCUCCGAUGUUUCCCUGAGACCCUUGUGCCCUUCGCCGUUGCACUUCCAUACCACCGAUAAAUCCCUAUGGAAAGCUACAUACACUUGUCAUCCAUAACUUCAUUUCCAAUUGUUGUUGUUAUUACAAGAUACCCUAAAAUACUUUGGAUAUUCCGAGGAUUCUUUGUGUUGUCUUGCGGGUCCUUUUCCUCAUUAAUACAUGUAUGAAUAAUUCCUUGCAUUUACCAGGGAUUCGUUCAUCCCCGGUUGUUCAGGUGUUUCGCAAAAUUCUUCGAAAUGCCAUUCGAUCUUCCAAAAUCCUCAGUAGCCUAUUGCUCUUGAUCUUCUUUACCUACUUGCAUAAUGGUUAAUUCCAUAUGUCAAGCAAUAUUCGUUAAAAUCCUUGUGAUGAACAUUCUGACCAUAUUGAUUCAGCAAGUGUGCGAAUGCACGCAAUCAUCAGUUGAUCCUUAUAAAUUAUUUUUCUGGCUCGGAUGUCUUCCCGAACAUGAGCUGGUUCUCAACCAUUCAAAUAGUGUCAAUUUUACCCCUAAGGCUAUUCAACUUAUCCAACCCUAAUCAGAGUGUUGCUUCUGAUCCCUUGAUUUGAAAAUCAUAAUUCCGUUGCAUUUGAGCUUAAAUUAGUCAGUUGUUUCUAUGGUCUGAUCUUCUUACCUUUUUCCUUCUUCUGGUUGAGUACCGAUGCUCACCUCAGAUCCCUUGUGGACCACCAAAUCCUUUGUUGGAUUUUAUUAGACACCGUCCUUCAUAUUCAUUAAACAUUGUGAGCUUUUCUUCGGAUACAUAAUGCCUUUGGUAAAUUGUAUCCUCUACUUUGUGAACCAUGCUCUACUUUCGAACUUGCAUUAUUUACUCCGAAGUUUGUGAUAUAUGUUCCUAAGAUUCCCUGAUGGGUUGAACCUAUGCCUCCCCUAAUCCGUGUGAACCCAAAAGAUUUCACGGGUCAUACUUAUCUGGUAUUGCACCAGGUAAAACUUUCAACAACUAAUGUCAUUUUAGAAAAGCGAGAGGUGAAUGGAAGGUUAUACAUUGAAGAAGUGGGAGUCGACCUUGAACCUUGUGUUCAUGCCCAUGGACAUGAUGUAGAUCUUAUCAUGAAAGCUUCUCUUAAAUUAAUUAUUCCCCGGGUAUAAGUUCACCUUAUAUCUGGUAUCUGGCCUUUGCAAGCGUGGUUCCGUCCAUGUUCUCCUUUAAAUACCAUUUCUCGUGCAAGUUUAAGCACUUGUCUUCUGCAGAGAAAUGACCUAGUCCAACCUCUACUUUGAUCUAUCGUCGAGCAUUACCCCCUGGUAUCUCGAGAUUAUCAUGGAACUGCAUAACCUCUUAUGAGUUCUUCAUCAAGUAUUACAUUCUCACUGAUUCCAAUUUUCACGGGCUCUGAGUUAUGAAACACUCAAAGACAUCAGUAACUGAACCGAGUCCGACUAUGGUUAAACAACUCUUAGUAAUCUUAUUUACGUACGAGUUUGUACCCGAUCACACCAUUCCUAGCCUGUUUGGCUGUAAUAUUGUCGUGAUGAUUUUAACUAUGCUACCUGGUCCUACUUCUCGGAACACAAAUUUUGACGAUGAGCUAAUCUUACAUCGAUCUUCCUCGUCAUAUCAUUUCUCCUUGAACAACAAACUUGAUUUCGAGUUUGUGUCGUACCCAUGGUUCCAAUAACAUUUCGCUUCAUCAUCCCUUCAACUUGAUGUCAUCGCCGAUCGAUUACAUCUUCAUGAGGUCUCUUGACAAAUGUGUCGUGAUCAUCAUCAGCAUUCUGAGCUCUUCCAGUAUAUCAAUUGAAUUCUUGAUGAGAAAUACCAUCCUUGCCCCUCAAUGAUUUGUGUUAUCAUGAACAACUUUAUUGCAUUCCCUCCAACACAAACUUGUUCAUGUUAUGGAGCUCCUUGCUAUCCAGAAUUUGUUCUUUACCUUGGAGUAUUACCAUCUUUUAGGUCAAGAAUGUCAUGAGAAUUUCACCACCUCUUAAGAAUUCUUGAUACAGGUGAUACUUCUUGCCAUAUCCAUUCACUUCUAGCAACCCUAUUGCUUUGAAGAUUAAUGGUCGAUGUUUCACUCUAAGUCUAUUGCUUAUUGAAUCAUCAUUCAAACAUUGAUCGUGCUACCUAGUCCAGAUUUCCGGGUGCACCCUUCUAUCAUUGUUAAAUUGUGUAUGUUUUCCUCGAGCAUACAUCAUUAUAUCAUUUGAUCCGACAAAUGUUAUCUCCUUGUUCACAUAAUUGUGGAAAUCCAUCCUUUGGAAAUCUCGAUGAUUUGUCGCUGAGUCCAUCAGCCACCUCCUCAUCCUCUCCUUGGUUUACUGAUGAACUCUUGUUUCAGAACUCACUUCCAUAGUUCAUUUCCCGAGAAUCUUAUGCCGACUUCUCGUCAAUUCGUGUUGCACCUUUCUAUCUCAGGGUCCUGAGUCUGAGGUAUCCUGGCACCAAUCAGAUCUGAAUCUUGGUCAGAUAUGAUGGUUGGGGCAUAUUUCCAAGAGUUAUAACAUUGGUCCUUAUAUACCGGUAAGGUGAUGUCAUGCCUAGCACACCUGGCCGGAGGACCUAUUGUUAUAGUUCUUCCUUUUAGCAAGAUUAUCCAUUCUUCCAUGAGGAAAUUGUAAGGCUUAUUCUACAAUUGUUCCUGAUGGAUCCUUCGUGUAUCCGAAGUGUAACCUUUGCUUGACGACCAUGUCAAUGCUAUCUCGAAGCAUGUCUAUGAUACUCCAAUUUUCAACAAGAACAUUUGAAGCCCAAUGCUAAAUGUUUCCUGCUCAAUUAUCCAAACACCGCUGUAUGGGUAAUGUCAUGAAAUUUCUCUCCCCUGCCUAAGGAGUUUUCUACAUUAUAUCUUGUCAUGGAUAGCAUGCACUGCUUGUCCUUGGGAAGGAUAUACCCUUGAAAAAUGUGUUUAAACACAUUUUCCUUUCCAUUGUUCUGUUUAAUCUGAUAAUCAUAUUUUUCCUUUCCAUUGGUUGGUUUAACGUUUCUUGUGAUCUAUAUGAUAUAAUCAGUAAUAAUUCCCUGCUUGUGCAAACAUCUUGGUGUACAACUCUAUCAGUAAGACCCUGUUACUAUUGUUGAUGACAUUCCGGUAACCACCGAUGGAUGAGAACCUUGCCUAUUGGUCCGCCUCGUUCAACGAGCAGGAAAAUGGUUCUCUUUGUCCCUCGCCCUUAAUACCGAUGUUGUUUCUGACAUAACUGACAGGGUAUUCUCUGACAUGCCUUGCUAUCAUGACUGUGCAAGAGGUCAGCGCCCUUCCUAUUUUUAACCCACAUGGUGGGCCCAUAACCCACAGUUCCACAUGAUCGAAACCUGACUCUCCUGUACACCCCUUUCCCAAAGUCAAUAUGCACGCUUGGCUUCGUGUGUAAUUCACGAGCCACCUUCCUAGUGAUGUGUUCCGGUAUCAGAUGCAAUACUUAUUCUUAAUGCUCUGAGCCCCUUUCACACCCUGUUUCAGACAUCAAAUGAUUGUUUAUCCGUUUGGAACUUCUCAUGGUACCUUCUAACUUUGCUCUCGAUAUCUUCUUAAGUUUCAAUUCGAGAGGUACUUAUGCUUCUUCCCAUGAGUUAUCCGCCCGAUGCUAAUCUGGUUAGAACCCGUCCUUAUAGAGUUUUUCCCCUCUUAUCCUUUCGUAAGUUCAGUGAAGAUCCUAAAGGCAGGACGACAAUUUCAUCAUGAUGCAUUGAUGCAUAGGAAUGAAGGCAUCAAUGUAAUGGAUUGACCUCUUCGAGAAAGCAACCAAGACUCAGAAGAUUCCUUAGAAUUUCGUAACCAGAUAUUUCCUCCUUACUCCCGCUCCUAAAUCUCGGGACGGGAUUUCUUGUAGUGGAGGAGAAUUGUGACGCCCGGAUAAUUAAGCUACAGUAAACCUCUCUUAAUGAUGCCACGUCACCACGGUUACUGUUCCUAAUCUCGCGUUAGUUCGAAACCGAUUUGAAAUUCAGAUUCAAAAUUAAGCAAACAAUAAAAGUUUUCAAAUAUUAAAACUAAAAUGUUCGGAGUGAGCCAAAUAAUGCAUAGUUAAUUAUGGUGUAGAAACCUCACCUUCAUAAUUUUUUUAAAAACUAUUAGAUGAAUGAAACAGUAGCGAAACCUAUUAUCUAAAUACUUUUAAAUACUAAAUAAUUACGAAACUAUUUUAGUUUGGGUAGCAAGUUAUUGUGGCAUUAGAACAAAUAGUAAUACUAUUUUAGGAACUAAUUUUAUAUUUUAUAAAACUAUAAUAAAUAGAAAAUAAAACAUAAUAGUAUAAAGCAUGAAUAAAAGAAAAGAGAAACAAAACAACAGACCUAAUCUACCCAACUUGGCCCAUCUAACUGAAACCAACCCAACUCCCCCUCUCAUCAUCCACCUCCUGUUCACAGGAGGCUGGGUGGCUUCCCCUCACACGUCCAUGGCCGUGGAUGGCCACGUGCCGGCCAUCCAGCUCCUCCCCGUCACCUACAAGUCCUCCCCCGACCACCCAGGCCGAACCCUAGCGUUCUUUCCCUCUCCCCGUUGCGCCGCUUUCCUCUUCCGCAUACAUGGCCGAACCACCACCGCUAAGCUCUUCGUCGACCCCACUCCACUUCCCUCGUCGUCGGCGUCGUUUCCGGCGACCAUUGGAUGAGCCACCUACACCCAACAACGAGGCAUCGCACGGCCGUUCGAACGGACCACGCCGUGCCCAGCAACCCCGACUCCGUCCACGCCCGGCUCACCGCUGCAUCCUCUGCGCCUCGCCACACCCACCGGAAACUGCCCGUGCCCGCAUGCCUCCUCCCCCGCGCUCAAUCCUUGCGCCCGUGGCCGCGCCCCCGGUCGCCUCCUGCUGUUGUGCUCCAGCCGCGCUGCUCCCUCCUCGCGCGUCACCGCCCACCUACAGCCGCUCGCUGCCGUCUUUCCCGCUUGCCUCUGCUGCUUGCGCCGCUGUGGUCGCUCCCUACCUGCGCCCGUGCAGCCUCGACCGCCGCUGCCGCCGCGUACUGUUGUUGCCGAUGCGCCUGUCGCCUAGUCCGCCCGCGCCCCCUGCGCCGCGCGUGGCUGCCGCCGACCGCCGCCCCGCUCCCCUGCUGCGCUGCUGCAGUGGCUACUGCCGCCGGCCGCCAGCUGCUGCUGCUGGCCAUGGGCGUCAUGGCCCCAUGCCCGGCGUGCGUCUUGGCGAUGGCCCCUGCUGACUCUUGCGUUGACUAGGGGCUGGCCUUUUAGUUAGUACUAACCCCCCUUUACUAACUAGCCCUGUUAGUUAAUAGGUGUAUGAUAGUGGGCCCCCACCACCAAGGUAAAAACUAGUUUAAACCAGUCCUAUUAUCACAUUAGUCAAUGACAGGUGGACCCCCUCCCUGACAGUUGACUGGUCAACUUUGACUUUGACUGCUGACUUGGCAGUUGACUGGGCCCACUGGUCAGCCUCACCGGUGCACCUCUGGUGCACUGCACCGGAUGCACCAAGUUUUUAACUACUGAUUUUUUAAAUUAAAAAUAAAUAAGAAAUUCUAGAAAUUAUUUUAAAACUUCAAAAAAUCAUAUAAAAUAAACCAUAUCUCGGAUGAAAAUAAUUUAUAUAUGAAAGUUGCUCAGAACGAGGAGACGAAUCCGGAUACGUAGCCCGUUCGUCCGCCACGCAUACCUAGCAUAGCGAACACGCAACUUCCCCCCUCCGAUUCAUCUGUCCAAAAACGCAAAACACCGGGGAUAUUUUCCCGGAUGUUUCUCCCCUUCACUAGUACCACCUCAUACCGCGUUAGGGCACACCUAGCUUCACGCUUUGUCAUGUCAUGCGUCGCUAUGCAUCUGUUUGCUUAAUAUUUAUUGUUUCUUCCCCCUCUUCUCUCGCUAGAUACAGAGACUGAUGCCGCUGCUAGCCGGUACGACUACGGUGUUGACGACACCUCUCUCUUGCCAGAGCAACCAGGCAAGCCCCCCCCCCCUUGAUCACCAGAUAUCGCCUACUCUCCUCUAUACUUCUUGCAUUAGAGUAGUAUAGCAUGUAACUGCUUUCCGUUAAUCCUAUUCUGAUGCAUAGCCUGUCAUUGUUGCUACAACUAUUGAUACCUUACAUGCAAUCCUAAAUGCUUAGUAUCUCUGUUGGAAAAGGCAGUGCCUAGGAGGCGCUUAGGCACGCCUAGGCGCUAGGCAAUGGCCAAACGCCUCGCCUAGGGCAUAAGCAGAAGUCUAGGCAGAGCAAGUAAAAAUUGUCUACCCAAGCGAGAAAUCAUGCCAUAUUGCACUGAUAUGCCAAAAGGGCCAUAUUACAAUCGUAGUAGCUGCUCGUUAAGAUACUUAUAUGCCCUAAAUUAAAUAAACAUAUAAUAACCACAUAUACACCAUAAUAGUAAAAAAUUAUAUAACCGCCUAAGCUGCGCCUAGGGCGCUUAACCACCGCCUAGGCACUAGGCGAAGGCUAACCGCCUCGCUUACGCCUACCGCUUUUUCCAACCUUGCUUAGUAUAGGAUGCUAGUUUAUCAUUAGUGGCCCUACACUCUUGUCCGUCUUCCAUGCUAUACUACUGGGCCGUGAUCACUUCGGGAGGUGAUCACGGGCAUAUACUAUAUACUUUACACUGUUACAUUACCGGUGAUACUGUUUGGAGAUGGGGGCUGAAGGGGCGGGUGGCUCCAUCCAGGUAGUGGUGGGCCUGAGUUCCUGAUGGCCCCCGACUGUUACUUUGAGGCGGAGCGACAGGGCAGGUUGAGACCACCUAGAAGAGAGGUGGGACUGGCCCUGGUCGGCGUUCGCGGCUACUUCAAAAUAACACGCUUAACGAUAUCUGUGUAUUUGAUCUGAGUCUGGCUACUGGCCUAUACGCACUAACCAUCUACGCGGGGACAGUUAUGGGCACUUGACGUCGUGGUAUCAGCUGAAGCCUUCGUGACGUCAGCGAUUGAGCGGCGCGCGCUGGAUUGGAACGUAAGCCUGCUCUUGUAUUAAGGGGGGCUAGUUCUGCUUCUGGCCGCCCUCGCAACGUGCAGGUGUGCAAUGAGGGAUGGGCCCAGACCCCUGCGCCAUAGGAUUUAGACCGAUGUGCUGACCUCUCUGUUGUGCCUAGGUAGGGCUACGACGUGUUGAUCUUCUGAGGCCGGGCAUGACCCAGAAAAGUGUGUCCGGACAAAGGGGAUCGAGCGUGUUGGGAAAUGUGGUGCACCCCUGCAGGUAAGUUGAUAUAUUCGAAUAGCCGUGUCCCUCGGAAAAAGGACGACCCGAAGUUGUACCUUGACCUUAUGACAACACCCUUCCAAGUGCCAGAUACAACCCAGUGAUCGCUCUCUAACAGGGCGACGAGGGGAGGAUCACCGGAUAGGUUUAUGCUACACGAUGUUACUUGGUGAACUUACCAUCUACUCUCUUCUCCUGCUGCAAGAUGAAGGUUACCAGAAGCGUAGUCUUCGAAAGGACUAGCUAUCCCCCUCUUAUUCCAGCAUUCUGCAGUUCAGUCCACAUAUGAUACCCCCUUUUUCAUUUGAUACCAAUGCAUACAUAUGUAGUGUAGCUCCUUGCUUGCGAGUACUUUGGAUGAGUACUCACGAUUGCUUUGCUCCCUCUUUUUCCCCUUUCUAUACCCGAUUGUUGCGACCAGACGUUGGAGCCCAGGAGCCAGACGCCACCGUCGACGACGACUACUACUACUCGGGAGGUUCCUACUACUACGUGCAGCCCGCUGACGAUGACCAAGAGUAGUUUAGGAGGAUCCCACGCAGGAGGCCUGCGCCUCUUUCGAUCUGUAUCCCAAUUUAUGCUAGCCUUCUUAAGGCAAACUUGUUUAACUUAUGUCUGUACCCAGAUAUUGUUGCUUCCGCUGACUCGUCUAUGAUCGAGCUCUUGUAUUCGAGCCCUCGAGGCCCCUGGCUUGUAAUAUGAUGCUUGUAUGACUUAUUUUAUUUGUAGAGUUGUG